CCUCCUAGUUCUGUUGAUAUUUAUAACUUCUCUGUGCGACACCUGACACUUCAAUCCUGCGCCGGCAGGGUCCUGCCAGAGCAGGGUGGGGACCUGCAGAGGAGCUCAUUCUUCAGGACCAGGAGGAUCAAGAGAAGGAGAAGCCAAGAAUUCCAAUGCGUUUGAAAGUUCCUUGAAUGGAUGGUUCAAAAUCUUGGCCCAGGAAAAGCAAACCUACAGUUUUACCGCUUCAGUAUUCCUUCGACGUCAUUCAUCUUCCCAGCAGGCAGAAUUACUACUGAUUAAAUGCAAAUCAUAUCCUGUAUUCUGUUAUUUUUUCAAACAUUUUACAAUUUGGUUGUCAAUGGGUGACCUUAAGACAUAAAGCAGCUAAUUAUCCACUCACUCCAUCCAUCUCCCAGCCAUUUAUUCAGCAUUUGCGGAAGGAUCCUAUCUUCUCAAUUAUCAUUUUCUUUCUCGCACCACUAAAGCAGAUUUUAUAUUCUCUCUUCCGCUGUUUUCAGGUUGUAAUAACAUAUAAUGGCAUCAUGUUUUAUCUUUAUAAAUUCAAGACUAUUCAUUUGUAACGUCUUUCAGAAUCGCACUUCCCUUUUUUUCUGGUGUUUAUAAUUUUACUUAAAUGUACGUCUAAACCCACGUCCAAACCCAUAUUGGGUGUGACCUUUCCAAGUAUGAAAUGAUAUUCUUACACCUUCCAAAUUAGAAUUGUAGGCUCUAUGUUGGGUAGAAACACUGAAGCUGGCUGUACAGAAAUUUUCCAGUUAAAACACUGGGUUGUCAUACACUGGGUAUUGGUUGUCUAUAACCCAAAAGAUUGGAGAUACUGUACUUGGAUGGAUUGGGGGGUGGGGGGGGGGCAGUGACCCCUUGUUGCCUGAGUUGGAAUUGCAGUUAAUUGGCAAGACCAUCAUUGUGCUUAUGUUCUAUGCUUGCAUUUUGCACUUUUGCAUGACUAGCUUGUCGAUACCCUA